rnacentral:rRNA from 1 species
CUCUUCCCAUUCCGAACAGAGAAGUUAAGUCCCUCAUGGCCGAUGGUACUCGCGUUAAGCCGGGAGAGUAGGUAGCUGCCAUAU